UCAGAGAUUUGCCAGUGCAACUGGGAACCAGACAUCAAAAAAAAAUUAAAAUACUACUUUCAUUUCUGGAACCACUUGACACAUCUGUAAGUGUCUAAAUGUAGCCUGUAUCAUGGACUAACCCACUGAUGAGAUCGUAAAAGUUUUGUGAGCGGAUACAGCCAAACUCUAUCUCCCAGGAUUCAAGGAAAUCCUUUUGUUUUCUAAAGUCAUUUCAAAGAUGCUAUUUAUCAUCCGUUGGGAGAAUGAAUAUUGAAGCAUCAGUGUUUUGCUUUCGGUCAGCUGUACAAGUCUACAAAGAGGAUGCUAAUCAAACUGGCAAAAAGAAGCAUUUACAGUUCAAAGAAGCCCCGUUUUUCAUAUUCAGCAGACGGAUUAAAGGGAGAGUUUGACUGUGAGAGUUUCAAGAGAGAUCGCAUCCAAAUUCAACUUCAACAUUUGGUUUUAGGAUGUUAAACUUAAACCCCAAAAUGCAAGAUCUCUGGGGAUUUUUUUGGCAAAAUAAAUGCUUGGUUUCUCUUCUGUCCUAAA